AAGACUAUAGACCUGCGGAGUACCUGCGGAAGGAUCAUUACAUGGCGGAGGAGGUGGGCACCUAGUAAAAACAAAACCCUAGGUGUGUUGCCUACCACGCUUUCUACCCUUGUCUAUUUGCACCUUUUGUCGUUCCCUCGGUGGGUCUUGAACCUGCCGGCGGCAACUUUCAAAAACCUUUUGUAGUUAGUAUCUAAUUCUUCUGAUCAAAUAUUCAAUCGUUACAACUUUCAGCAACGG
rnacentral:misc_RNA from 1 species